UACGUAGGUGGCAAGCGUUGUCCGGAUUUACUGGGCGUAAAGCGUGCGCAGGCGGUUCUGAAAGUCAGCUGUGAAAGCCCCGGGCUUAACCUGGGAAUUGCGGUUGAAACUACAGGGCUAGAAUCUGGCAGAGGGGGGUGGAAUUCCACGUGUAGCAGUGAAAUGCGUAGAGAUGUGGAGGAACACCGAUGGCGAAGGCAGCCCCCUGGGCUGAGAUUGACGCUCAGGCACGAAAGCGUGGGGAGCAAACAGG
rnacentral:rRNA from 1 species